rnacentral:rRNA from 1 species
GAUGAACGCUAGCUACAGGCUUAACACAUGCAAGUCGCGGGGCAGCAUGGGGGUUGCUUGCAAUCCCCGAUGGCGACCGGCGCACGGGUGAGUAACGCGUAUCCAACCUGCCCUUCACCACGGGAUAACCCGGCGAAAGUCGGACUAAUACCGUAUGUUGUCCAUUGACGGCAUCCGAUUUGGACGAAAGGCUUGGCGGUGAGGGAUGGGGAUGCGUCCGAUUAGCCAGACGGCGGGGUAACGGCCCACCGAGGCUACGAUCGGUAGGGGUUCUGAGAGGAAGGUCCCCCACACUGGAACUGAGACACGGUCCAGACUCCUACGGGAGGCAGCAGUGAGGAAUAUUGGUCAAUGGGCGUAAGCCUGAACCAGCCAAGUAGCGUGCAGGAUGACGGCCCUAUGGGUUGUAAACUGCUUUUAUGCGGGGAUAAAGUGGCCCACGUGUGGGCUUUUGCAGGUACCGCAUGAAUAAGGACCGGCUAAUUCCGUG